UGCCAGCCGCCGCGGUAAUACGGAGGGUCCAAGCGUUAUCCGGAUUUAUUGGGUUUAAAGGGUCCGUAGGCGGGAUAUUAAGUCAGUGGUGAAAUCCUACAGCUCAACUGUAGAACUGCCAUUGAUACUGAUAUUCUUGAGUACGUUAGAAGUGGGCGGAAUAUGUCAUGUAGCGGUGAAAUGCAUAGAUAUGACAUAGAACACCGAUUGCGAAAGCAGCUCACUAUGCCGUAACUGACGCUGAGGGACGAAAGCGUGGGGAGCGAACAGGAUUAGAUA
rnacentral:rRNA from 1 species